CUAACUUAUUACUAGGCCUUGGUGAAUUGAAUAAGUCAUUUAAAAGCUUUCAGAGUCAGAUUUCUCCAUUUCUUCUACUGUUAUGUCUCAUUUUGACAGCAGCUUCACAUUUGAUGAACAAAUAUAUGCUGCUGUCAUAGCUAGUUUCUCCCAAGUGAGGUCCCUUGCAAAGGCUCUUUCUCUCUUUUUCUUUUCAAUCCUUUAUUUCAUCCAAGCUUGACUAUUGCAUUAGGGUUUUUUUUUUUAGAAACAGCAACUCUGUGCUUUCUUGUCUGCAACUUGUCUCCUGACAGGCACACAUAGGCCAGCCCAUGCAACCCUUGUUUUAGCUUCUUUGCACCGGCUCUUGAUAAGUUUUAGAAUCAAUUUUAAGAUUUUAUUCUUUGUUUUUAACUCGUGAAAUAGACAGACACCUUCAUACCUUUCUGACCUUCCAAGUACACUCCUAAAAGCUAAUUGAGGUUAACUGACCAGAUGCUCUGAUUGUACCAAGAGGUAGAUCAAAGCAUUGAGGAGAUCAGGCCUUUGCUGUAGCUGCUUCUAAAGUUCGGGACAGCCAGCCGCUUGAACGUAGGAUCUCAACAACACUUUACAUCUUCAAAACCCGUUUGAAAACUCAUUUCUAUUCUUUGGCAUUUAAGCCAAACUGAGUCUUGACAGUUGUUUUUUUAUCUGUCAGUUUUUUUGUGCUACUUUUAUUGUUUUAUUCUUUUAGUUCUACAGCACUUUGGUCAGCGCUUGUUUUUUUAAAAAAAAAGAUGUGCAUAUAAAUAAAUUGACUUGACUUGACUCACAUAAUGACAACUUUCUCCUGGUUUACAUUACUAAGCUUCAGGUAGUGAACAGACAUGAAAAUGACAGUCUUAUCUAACAAUGUAUUGAUACAAUAUGUAAUAAUAUAAUAAUAAACAGUCUAACUCUCUGCAGUAAAGCAAAUAGCUUGGUGAAGUGUAUUCUUAAGGUAUGUCUUUUAUUUAUUGGCUUAUCUUUUUCAUGGUUAUUAAUGAGUAGUUUUGCUGUUCGUGAGAUUUAGUUUGAAUUAUUGUUGCAGGUUUUGUUUGUUUUGUUAUUUUUUAUGUUUAUUCUUGCAUUUCUGACUUUGGUUAGAAUAGUUGUUCUGUUUUCAUCUCACUCGUUCCAGUAUUACUAUACUAUUACUACUUUCUUUUUUUUCAUUUCAAAUCCAUCUCCGGAGUCUGUGUUUAUGUCCUCCGCCUCUGCUACACUCCAAAACAUGACAUUUAGAGGUCUGUAUAUGCAGCAAGUUGUUGUAUACAUUUGACGGAGUAGUCUCCCUCUUUCUUUUGAGAUUAUGCUACACAUCUUGCUAUCUCCUGCUUAGCCUUAACAAAUAAUGUCACCAAAUUAUGAUAAGGUGGUCUGACUUUUUUUUCGCUGAGCAAGAAUGUGAAGAAUCCUUUGAUGUUCAGUGGUAUAAUAAAACCAAGCAAACAUGAUGUCUUAUAUCAGCUAAAGUGUAUUCUUCAGUGUAAUAAAAUGAGAAUCUAAAAGAUAUUUCCUAAGAUUUUACACAAAAUCCAAACAUAUUUAAAGGUCUUUCCAAAAACGUCAGAGGCUUUAGGGAGCUGCAUAAAAUCUGAUAAACUGAUUGAAAUCACUUGAGU
ensembl:lncRNA